GACGAACGCUGGCGGCGUGCCUAAUACAUGCAAGUAGAACGCUGAAGGAGGAGCUUGCUUCUCUGGAUGAUUUGCGAACAGGUGAGUAACGCAUAUGUAACCUGCCUGGUAGCGGGGGAUAACUAUUGGAAACAAUAGCUAAUACCCCAUAAGAGUAAAUGUUGCAUGACAUUUGCUUAUAAAGGGCGAUUUCAUCACUACUAAAUGGACCUGCGUUGUAUUAGCUAGUUUGUGGGGUAACGGCUCACCAAGGCGACGAUAACUAGCCGACCUUAGAGGGGGAUCCGCCAACCUGGGACUGAGACACGGCCCAGGAUCCUAAGGGGAGGCGCAGUAGGGAAACUUCGGCAAUGGACAGAAGUCUGAACGAGCAAAGCCGCGUGAGUGAAGAAGGUUUUCGGAUCGUAAAGCUCUGUUGUAAGAGAAAAAAGAGUGGGAGAGUGGAAUGUUCACACUUUGACGGUAUCUUACCAGAAAGGGACGGCUAACUACGUG
rnacentral:rRNA from 1 species